rnacentral:rRNA from 1 species
CCUACGGGAGGCAGCAGUGGGGAAUAUUGGACAAUGGGGGGAACCCUGAUCCAGCCAUGCCGCGUGUGUGAAGAAGGCCCUCGGGUUGUAAAGCACUUUCAGUGAGGAAGAACGCCUGGUGGUUAAUACCCAUCAGGAAAGACAUCACUCACAGAAGAAGCACCGGCUAACUCCGUGCCAGCAGCCGCGGUAAUACGGAGGGUGCGAGUGUUAAUCGGAAUUACUGGGCGUAAAGCGCGCGUAGGUGGCUUGAUAAGCCGGUUGUGAAAGCCCCGGGCUCAACCUGGGAACGGCAUCCGGAACUGUCAAGCUAGAGUGCAGGAGAGGAAGGUAGAAUUCCCGGUGUAGCGGUGAAAUGCGUAGAGAUCGGGAGGAAUACCAGUGGCGAAGGCGGCCUUCUGGACUGACACUGACACUGAGGUGCGAAAGCGUGGGUAGCAAACAGGAUUGGAUACCCCAGUAGUC